CGUGGACGUACGAGACCUGUGGAAGGGGGCGGGGCCGCGCUGCGUGCAAAUGUUGGCGUAAGGCGUUAACGGAGUUAUUCCUGUGAGACCAAAAAUAUGAAUCCUAGCUGCAUUCCUACUGAAGGAUUCUUUCUGGAGCCCAUUUGCUUCCAUCCAUCAAGUCUAGUAGGCUCAUCCCUCCCAAGGCCAUCUCCACUUUUACAAAUCAUGACUGCUGACCAAUUCCUUAUUUGAGUAAACACCAGCUAACUCACAGUCAACUGUGAUCUGGAAGCAGGUGAUCCUCCUUCUGCCCGUAGUAGCUUCGUGCUACACCAAAAUGCCUGCAUCACUCACCUGAGUUUGUCUCAUCGUGUGCACAUUUGAUCAUCUCACAUCAUCACAAGA